UACGGCCACAUAACGUUGAAAAGCCAGUUCCCGUUCUCUCACCAAAGUUAAACAACGUUGAGCCUGGUCAGUACCUAAAUGGGUGACCGCUUGGGAAUACCAAGUGGAUG